AUUGAACGCUGGCGGCAGGCCUAACACAUGCAAGUCGAGCGGAGCGGCGGACGGGUGAGUAAUGCCUAUGAAUCUGCCUGGUCGUGGGGGAUAACGUCCGGAAACGGGCGCUAAUACCGCAUACUCUCAGCUGAACCUGGGUCGGAUUAGGUGGUGGGUGGGGUAAAGGCCUACCAAGGCGACGAUCCGUAACUGGUCUGAGAGGAUGAUCAGUAACACUGGAACUGAGACACGGUCCAGACUCCUACGGGAGGCAGCAGUGGGGAAUAUUGGACAAUGGGCGAAAGCCUGAUCCAGCCAUGCCGCGUGUGUGAAGAAGGUCUUCGGAUUGUAAAGCACUUUAAGUUGGGAGGCGUUACCAACAGAAGAAGCACCGGCUAACUUCGUGCCAGCAGCCGCGGUAAUAC
rnacentral:rRNA from 1 species